UGCACCACCCUCAACCCCCCGUGCACAGGGCUUCCUGAGCCAGUGGGGGUGUGCAAAUCAAAACUGAGUCACAUUCAUGGAGUGUGAGACGGGAGUGGCGGGGGAACGAGGGAAGGAGGAAGCGGCGAGGUCACGCAGCGGAGGGAAAAGAAGUGAGCAGUGGUGAUUACAAUAACAGCACGGGGUAGAGUCAUAUCAGUGGACUGCACCCUUCCCCUCUCCCCUCGUGCCUCUGUGGACUCACAUAAACCUGACUGUUGAGUUCAACCAGGACACGAGCCUGUUCACCACACUUUAACUUUUGCAUCAAAAUUAGCAGAUGUGCGCCGCCACGCCAGAUUACAUCUGCACAAGAGCACUCACACUGGGGCAGGUCUUCGAAGCAGUCGCAGAUGCUGGAGGUCCAUUGGCUGGAUGAAGAGGUCGUGAUGAAGGGCCGGGGUUGGGUCACCACCAUCUUCCCAGACAUGGUUUUAGCUUCUGAAGAAAACAGUCACAUUGAAUAUAACUGUACAAUCUGAUUGAAGCCCCAACAAGGGCUUUUUUUGGCUAAAUACUAAUGUUGGUGGAAUUUAUAAAAGCAGUUUGAUCACUGUCUAUGGAAAACUAGCUGUACAUGAAGACAUCCAUUAAAAAAAGGCAAAAAGUAUGACGUACUCUAAAUGUU